rnacentral:lncRNA from 12 species
AUCAGUGUUCACAUCCCUGUGGAAUAUUUUGAUUCAUUUCCUUUCCAGGGGGAGAGGAGCAGCUAAGAGCAGUUGAACCAGGUCAGAUCACUCAGCCAGGAUCCUGUCUUUGGGACCAGAAGAAGCUUUUCUAGGAAAAGAUGUCACAGCUUGACGUGGUGUAAAUGACACUCUCAUCACCCAGAUGGUCUGAGAAGGCAACAGCUUCUGGCAGGUAAAUGCUGUUUAAUUUUCUACAUCCAGGGUCUAUAAAAAGAGAAACU